GAUGAACGCUAGCUACAGGCUUAACACAUGCAAGUCGAGGGGCAGCAUGAACUUAGCUUGCUAAGUUUGAUGGCGACCGGCGCACGGGUGAGUAACACGUAUCCAACCUGCCGAUGACUCGGGGAUAGCCUUUCGAAAGAAAGAUUAAUACCCGAUGGCAUAAUUCUUCCGCAUGGUAGAACUAUUAAAGAAUUUCGGUCAUCGAUGGGGAUGCGUUCCAUUAGGUUGUUGGCGGGGUAACGGCCCACCAAGCCUUCGAUGGAUAGGGGUUCUGAGAGGAAGGUCCCCCACAUUGGAACUGAGACACGGUCCAAACUCCUACGGGAGGCAGCAGUGAGGAAUAUUGGUCAAUGGACGAGAGUCUGAACCAGCCAAGUAGCGUGAAGGAUGAAGGUCCUACGGAUUGUAAACUUCUUUAUAAGGGAUAAACCCUCCACGUGUGGAGCUUGUAUGUACCUUAUGAAUAAGCAUCGGCUAACUCCGUAG
rnacentral:rRNA from 1 species